rnacentral:rRNA from 1 species
GACGAACGCUGGCGGCGUGCUUAACACAUGCAAGUCGAACGGAAAGGCCCUGCUUUUGUGGGGUGCUCGAGUGGCGAACGGGUGAGUAACACGUGAGUAACCUGCCCUUUACUUUGGGAUAACUUCAGGAAACUGGGGCUAAUACCGGAUAGGAGCUCCUGCUGCAUGGUGGGGGUUGGAAAGUUUCGGCGGUUGGGGAUGGACUCGCGGCUUAUCAGCUUGUUGGUGGGGUAGUGGCUUACCAAGGCUUUGACGGGUAGCCGGCCUGAGAGGGUGACCGGACACAUUGGGACUGGGAUACGGCCGAGACUCCUACGGGAGGCAGCAGUGGGGAAUAUUGCACAAUGGGCGGAAGCCUGAUGCAGCAACGCCGCGUGCGGGAUGACGGCCUUCGGGUUGUAAACCGCUUUCGCCUGUGACGAAGCGUGAGUGACGGUAAUGGGUAAAGAAGCACCGGCUAACUACGUG